AUUGAACGCUGGCGGCAGGCCUAACACAUGCAAGUCGAGCGGAUGAAGGGAGCUUGCUCCUGGAUUCAGCGGCGGGCGGGUGAGUAAUGCCUAGGAAUCUGCCUUGUAGUGGGGGAUAACGUCCGGACACGGGCGCUAAUACCGCAUACGUCCUGAGGUAGAAAGUGGGGGAUCUUCGGACCUCACGCGAUCAGAUGAGCCUAGGUCGGAUUAGCUAGUUGGUGGGGUAAAGGCCUACCAAGGCGACGAUCCGUAACUGGUCUGAGAGGAUGAUCAGUCACACUGGAACUGAGACACGGUCCAGACUCCUACGGGAGGCAGCAGUGGGGAAUAUUGGACAAUGGGCGAAAGCCUGAUCCAGCCAUGCCGCGUGUGUGAAGAAGGUCUUCGGAUUGUAAAGCACUUUAAGUUGGGAGGAAGGGCAGUAAGUUAAUACCUUGCUGUUUUGACGUUACCAACAGAAUAAGCACCGGCUAACUUCGUG
rnacentral:rRNA from 1 species